UGGGGGGAAAUUAAUAUAAUAAAAUAAAUAAUAAAAAUAAUUAUAAAAAAUAAUUAAUGGGGGUUAAAGUAUUUUUUAGAAAAAAUUUAUUAAUUUAUAGUUUAAUAGUAUUGUGAAAGAAUUUUGAAAUAAAGUUAAAUAUGGAUUAUUAUUUAAGUAAAUUUAAUUUAUUGUAUCUUGUGUAUCAGAGUUUAUUAAUAAAAUAUUUUUAAAUAAAAAUAUCUCGAAUUUAAAAGAGAUAGUUAAUUAUUAAAGUUAAUGUGACAUAAUUAUUUUAAAUAAUUAAUUUGAAAUGAAAUGUUAAUCGUUUUUAAAAAUAUCUAGUUUUUUUAGAAAAAAAUUUAAUUUUAAAUUAAUUUAAUAAUUUUUUAAAUUUUUUGUAAAAAAUUAUAUAUUUAAUUAAAUAUUUUAAGGGAUAAGCUUUAAAUUAAAUUUUUAUAAUGUUAAUAAACUAUUUAAAUAUUUUAAAAUUUAUAUUUUUUAUAAAUUAUAAUUUUUUAUAAAUAAUUUUAUUUAUUUUAAAAUUUAAAUUUAUAUUUAAAUUUAUAUAAAAAAAUAAUUUUUAAUAAUAAAAAAUUAGUUAUAAUGAUAAAAUUAGUAUAUAAAAAAAAAAUAAAAUAAAAUUAAUUAAAAUUAAUAAAAAGGAAUUCGGCAAAAAU
rnacentral:rRNA from 1 species